rnacentral:rRNA from 1 species
GCUAUCUACAGGCUUAACACAUGCAAGUCGAGGGGCAUCAGGAAGAAAGCUUGCUUUCUUUGCCGGCGACCGGCGCACGGGUGAGUAACACGUAUCCAACCUGCCCUUUACUCGGGGAUAGCCUUUCGAAAGAAAGAUUAAUACCCGAUAGUAUAAUGAUUCCGCAUGGUUUCAUUAUUAAAGGAUUCCGGUAAAGGAUGGGGAUGCGUUCCAUUAGGUUGUUGGUGAGGUAACGGCCCACCAAGCCUUCGAUGGAUAGGGGUUCUGAGAGGAAGGUCCCCCACAUUGGAACUGAGACACGGUCCAAACUCCUACGGGAGGCAGCAGUGAGGAAUAUUGGUCAAUGGGCGCUAGCCUGAACCAGCCAAGUAGCGUGAAGGAUGAAGGCUCUAUGGGUCGUAAACUUCUUUUAUAUAAGAAUAAAGUGCAGUAUGUAUACUGUUUUGUAUGUAUUAUAUGAAUAAGGAUCGGCUAACUCCGUGCCAGCAGCCGCGGUAAUACGGAGGAUCCGAGCGUUAUCCGGAUUUAUUGGGUUUAAAGGGAGCGUAGGUGGACUGGUAAGUCAGUUGUGAAAGUUUGCGGCUCAACCGUAAAAUUGCAGUUGAUACUGUCAGUCUUGAGUACAGUAGAGGUGGGCGGAAUUCGUGGUGUAGCGGUGAAAUGCUUAGAUAUCACGAAGAACUCCGAUUGCGAAGGCAGCUCACUGGACUGCAACUGACACUGAUGCUCGAAAGUGUGGGUAUCAAACAGGAUUAGAUACCCUGGUAGUCCACACAGUAAACGAUGAAUACUCGCUGUUUGCGAUAUACAGUAAGCGGCCAAGCGAAAGCAUUAAGUAUUCCACCUGGGGAGUACGCCGGCAACGGUGAAACUCAAAGGAAUUGACGGGGGCCCGCACAAGCGGAGGAACAUGUGGUUUAAUUCGAUGAUACGCGAGGAACCUUACCCGGGCUUAAAUUGCAGUGGAAUGAUGUGGAAACAUGUCAGUGAGCAAUCACCGCUGUGAAGGUGCUGCAUGGUUGUCGUCAGCUCGUGCCGUGAGGUGUCGGCUUAAGUGCCAUAACGAGCGCAACCCUUAUCUUCAGUUACUAACAGGUCAUGCUGAGGACUCUGGAGAGACUGCCGUCGUAAGAUGUGAGGAAGGUGGGGAUGACGUCAAAUCAGCACGGCCCUUACGUCCGGGGCUACACACGUGUUACAAUGGGGGGUACAGAAGGCAGCUAGCGGGUGACCGUAUGCUAAUCCCAAAAGCCUCUCUCAGUUCGGAUCGAAGUCUGCAACCCGACUUCGUGAAGCUGGAUUCGCUAGUAAUCGCGCAUCAGCCACGGCGCGGUGAAUACGUUCCCGGGCCUUGUACACACCGCCCGUCAAGCCAUGGGAGCCGGGGGUACCUGAAGUACGUAACCGCAAGGAUCGUCCUAGGGUAAAACUGGUGACUGGGGC